UACAGAGGUCUCAAGCGUUGUUCGGAUUCAUUGGGCGUAAAGGGUGCGUAGGCGGCGCGGUAAGUCGGGUGUGAAAUUUCGGAGCUUAACUCCGAAACUGCAUUCGAUACUGCCGUGCUUGAGGACUGGAGAGGAGACUGGAAUUUACGGUGUAGCAGUGAAAUGCGUAGAGAUCGUAAGGAACACCGGUGGCGAAAGCGGCGCGCUGGACCUCUACUGACGCUGAGGCGCGAAAGCCAGGGGAGCAAACGGG
rnacentral:rRNA from 1 species